GCGGAGAUGGCGGAACGGCAGACGCGCAUGCUUCAGGCGCAUGUGUCCAAUAGGACGUGAGGGUUCAAAUCCCUUUCUCCGCAUCA
rnacentral:tRNA from 2 species